rnacentral:rRNA from 1 species
GGGUCAGUAGGUUGGUCGUGCCACCGGUACGUACUGGCCUCACUGAUUCCUCCUUCCUGAAGAACCGUAAUGCCAUUAAUUUGGUGUUGCGGGGAAACAGGACUGUUACUUUGAAAAAAUUAGAGUGUUUAAAGCAAGCUAACGCUUGAAUACAUUAGCAUGGAAUAAUGAAAUAGGACGAUCGAUCCUAUUUUGUCGGUUUCUAGGAUUGACGUA